ensembl:lncRNA
CGUUCCAUUCUGUCUCUGGCUUCUUCACAUGGCAUGCAAAAGGCAGCAUCCUCUAUCCAUUUUGUUGCUGUUGUUGUUAAAGUUUUGAAAUUUGGAAGGAGCAGAUAAAAUAUUAUUCUUGAGUUUAGAUUAAGUUGAACAGGAAACUGGCCCCAGUUGUCAUAAAAGGUAAAGAACAUAUCUGUCUGCCUCCUUUUCAGUUCUCAACGUUGGGUUGGUAAAUCACUGAAUGAUAAAGUGUGCAUUUCUGAAAUGCUGGAAGGAAGAGUGGAAGGAGAACUAUUGAGACAAGGUUUCUACCCAAAGCUACGAUUAAUCAUAAUACCAAGGAAUGACACAUGGUGAAGCAAAUGGAAGAGUACAGAGAGAAACAGAGGACCAGGAGGAAAGGUCAUGGGCAGAAAGCAUGAAAGGAAGUGCUCCAUUCUUUAAAACAGCAACCACCUGCAGAGGUUCAGCUAAGAACAAGACCUCCACCCUUGCGUAGUAGCAGCAGAAGAAAGAGAAGAAGAAAAGGAGCAGAAAAAAGAGCUACUUUUUUAAUGAUUCUGGGUCAGAGGGAAGAGGCUUAAUGACAGAACAUAAAUUCAUAGUAACAGAUGUAUUUGCUUAAUUCAAGAGUUCCGCUAGCCAGUUUAGUGACCAGAGAUCUCUAGGGAAGAGCUUAAGAAUGGGACAUGCACAGUGACAUUUUCCCACUACACUGUCCAGGUGAUCAGCAGACUUUGAGACAAAUCUCCAGCCUACCUACAAACUCCUCUGUAGCGAUUUUAAUGAUUGUACUCGAAAAAAAUAAAACUUUCAAUACACACCUGUUUUUCAAGGGAUAGAAACUGUAAGAUUUUAUCUGAAUUUCCAAAGCAAAUGUGCAUGGUGGAAACUAGAAUGGGAAUGUAAAUCCAGCAGCACCCAACAUGGUUUUCUUGAGGAGCCAAAGUGCCCAGAAUGACCACUUGUUUUGCUACAGAACCAUGCAGGAAACAAAAUGCUUGUCUGCCUCCCUGUGUGAAUACUGGUGCCUUAAUAACACUGGAGGAGAAAGAGGUAGAGAUGUUUUUCAGGGGCAAACGUUAUAGAGGAAAGUAUCCAGGCAAAGCAAUAGCAAAGAGAGGACUCGAAUUCAGAAGGAGAUAGGAGAACAUUGGACAUGAAAUCCAGAAGGACAUUUUUUGGAUGGAACUGUGUUUUUGCCACCCUUGUAACUGGAUUUUUUAACUCAAAUUUCUUUAAUGUUGAUCCCCAAAAGGUGCUCCCUGAGCUUACAAGCCGGCUGCACCUGUCCACCUGGCACGGCUCCCAUGUGCAACAUGGACAGUGCAGACUGGAACUCGUUCCCAGAGCACUGACAAAAACCAACUGCUGUAUCUACUGCUCUGUAUCAGUUUCUUCACCGUAUGAAACAUGAGACCUUUUGAUGUAAAGUUAAGGGAGCCUUUGGUGUCUUAGAAGAUUAAUCUAACAGAAAACAUAUGAGUGAGAUGUGUGAUGCUCAUUGGUUAAUGUGCUGAUCCUUCUCUCAUGAGAGAUGUAGAAAGCCUUCUUGAUACUCAGAAGAGUCAAGUGCAAAUCCCAUACUGAUAAGAAAUGUCCCAAGAGAAUGCAGAUAAUAAAACCUCACUUCCUUGAUGUGUUGUCCUAGAAUCUUUCUUCUCAGAGCUUUGGCACAGUUUCAUGUGAAAUUCAAAAAGCAUGAUGUCUUUGUAGAAAAUAGGAGACCAUCUAUAAAUCCCUCCAAAAACACCCUUUGUGUUUAGUCCUGUGUGACCAGGACACUGCAGCUACUACAGUAGGAGCUACUUAAAGAAAAUACAAGAACUUUUUUACUUAUCUGAACUAGUGCUUAGAAAGGGAAGAGUGGAAAGCAGAGAAGCACUGAUUUAUCUUCCAGCCAUUACUUGACACUUGAAGAUAUACGUGAUGUAGUGCCAUACAAAGGCUUGGAGGCAACUUAAAGCAGUGUAAGAUAAGCCUUGCUGUUUACCAUGUGAUGUGCCAGCUUUUCUUGGACCACAGGAUGGGAACUUCAGGUCUAGCACCUUACAGUGGCUCCUUGCAUUUAAUUUCCCAGGACCUAAGUAUGAAACAACUUGGGGGUCCAAGUCUACUUUCUGGAACAGGUAUCUUCAUCUUCAUUGUUCAGGGUACUCAGGAGCAAGACAUUCUA